rnacentral:rRNA from 1 species
GACGAACGCUGGCGGCGUGCCUAAUACAUGCAAGUCGAACGCUGAAGGAGGAGCUUGCUUCUCUGGAUGAGUUGCGAACGGGUGAGUAACGCGUAGGUAACCUGCCUGGUAGUGGGGGAUAACUAUUGGAAACGAUAGCUAAUACCGCAUAAUAGCAGUUGUUGCAUGAUAACCGUUUGAAAGGUGCAAUUGCACCGCUACCAGAUGGACCUGCGUUGUAUUAGCUAGGUGGGGGGGUAACGGCUCACCAAGGCGACGAUGCCUAAGCGACCUGAGAGGGGGAUCGGCCUCACUGGGACGGUAGCACGGCCCCGCCUUCUACGGGUGGCACCAGUAGGGGAUCUUCCGGGAUGGAAGGAAGUCUGACCAAGCAACGCCGCGUGAGUGACGGAGGUUGUCAGGUCGUAAAGCUCUGUUGUAAGAGAAGGACGAAUGUGGGUGUUAAAAGUUCACACAAUGACGGUACCUUACCAGUAAGCGACGGCUAACUCCGUG